rfam:Paracoccus sp. 361 scaffold_0, whole genome shotgun sequence.
GCGGAGGGCUGGAUGACCGCGGCAGGGCGACCUGUCGAGGAAAGUCCGGACUCCAUGAGGCGAUGGUGCCGGGUAACGCCCGGCGGGGGCAACCCCAGGGAUAGCGCCACAGAGAACAGACCGCCCAUCCCCGGAUGGGUAAGGGUGAAACGGUGGGGUAAGAGCCCACCGGGGGGCUGGCAACAGCGCCCGCAUGGCAAGCCCCACCAGGAGCAAUGCCGAAUAGGGAUCGCGCGCGGAGCAAUCCGCAGGGCCGCCUUGCCCCAGCAGAUCCGGGUAGGCAGCUAGAUCCGUCCGGUAACGGACGGACCAGAGGAAUGGUCAUCCAGCCGCGCAAGCGGUGGACAAAAUCCGGCUUACAGGCCCUCCGCGCAA